UACGGAGGGAGCUAGCGUUGUUCGGAAUUACUGGGCGUAAAGCGCACGUAGGCGGCUUUGUAAGUUAGAGGUGAAAGCCCGGGGCUCAACCCCGGAAUUGCCUUUAAGACUGCAUCGCUUGAAUCCAGGAGAGGUGAGUGGAAUUCCGAGUGUAGAGGUGAAAUUCGUAGAUAUUCGGAAGAACACCAGUGGCGAAGGCGGCUCACUGGACUGGUAUUGACGCUGAGGUGCGAAAGCGUAGGGAGCAAACAGG
rnacentral:rRNA from 1 species